rnacentral:rRNA from 1 species
UACGUAGGAGGCGAGCGUUGUCCGGAAUUACUGGGCGUAAAGCGUGCGUAGACGGUUACGUAAGUCGGAUGUGAAAUCCCCGGGCUCAACCUGGGAAUUGCAUUCGAGACUGCGCAGCUGGGGUGCGGAAGAGGGAAGCGGAAUUUCCGGUGUAGCGGUGAAAUGCGCAGAUAUCAGGAAGAACACCGGUGGCGAAGGCGGCGACCUGGUCCGAUACUGACGCUGGAGGCGCGAAAGCGUGGGGAGCAAACAGG